ensembl:lncRNA
CUGGUGGGGGCUGAGCAUGCAACCCUGAGGGGUUGGUUUUAGUCCCCAAAAUGAGCUGUCAGAUAAGUUACUGCCUGCACUAAUCCACUGUUUGUCAAACCCCAACUAUGUAAAGCAAUGGAUAACAGUGAAAAACAUCUACUUGGAAAGGAUUUCACCACUAGUCAUGUUAUUUAAACAUUCCCUUGGGCACCAUUCAACACCUGAAUUAGAAGCUUUUCCAAUGAACUGAGCUGGAAGUUACGUAAUAUGGCUCAGUCAAUUUGUGUGUACCUGUGUCCCUCCUCUUUCAGGAUGCAUCAGGAAAGAUCAGGUCUAACAUCGGGUUAGGUCAGGUCUAACAUCAGGAAAGGUCAGGUCUAACAUCAGGUUAGGUCAGGUCUAAUACCAGGAGGGGGCAGGUCUAACACCAGGAGAGGGCAUGUCUAACACCAGGAGAGGGCAGGUGUCUAACAUCAGGGGAGGGCUGG